GGAAGGAUCAUUGCGCACACA
rnacentral:rRNA from 1 species